GGGCGAAAGCCUGAUCCAGCAAUGCCGCGUGAGUGAUGAAGGCCUUAGGGUUGUAAAGCUCUUUUACCCGGGAUGAUAAUGACAGUACCGGGAGAAUAAGCCCCGGCUAACUCCGUGCC
rnacentral:rRNA from 1 species